rnacentral:rRNA from 1 species
UACGAAGGGGGCUAGCGUUGUUCGGAUUUACUGGGCGUAAAGCGCACGUAGGCGGGUCGUUAAGUCAGGGGUGAAAUCCUGGAGCUCAACUCCAGAACUGCCUUUGAUACUGGCGACCUUGAGUCCGGGAGAGGUGAGUGGAACUGCGAGUGUAGAGGUGAAAUUCGUAGAUAUUCGCAAGAACACCAGUGGCGAAGGCGGCUCACUGGCCCGGUACUGACGCUGAGGUGCGAAAGCGUGGGGAGCAAACAGG